AAUAGAUACCCCGGUAGUCCACGCCGUAAACGAUGAGUGCUAAGUGUUAGAGGGUUUCCGCCCUUUAGUGCUGAAGUUAACGCAUUAAGCACUCCGCCUGGGGAGUACGGCCGCAAGGCUGAAACUCAAAGGAAUUGACGGGGGCCCGCACAAGCGGUGGAGCAUGUGGUUUAAUUCGAAGCAACGCGAAGAACCUUACCAGGUCUUGACAUCCUCUGACAACCCUAGAGAUAGGGCUUCUCCUUCGGGAGCAGAGUGACAGGUGGUGCAUGGUUGUCGUCAGCUCGUGUCGUGAGAUGUUGGGUUAAGUCCCGCAACGAGCGCAACCCUUGAUCUUAGUUGCCAUCAUUAAGUUGGGCACUCUAAGGUGACUGCCGGUGACAAACCGGAGGAAGGUGGGGAUGACGUCAAAUCAUCAUGCCCCUUAUGACCUGGGCUACACACGUGCUACAAUGGGCGGUACAAAGAGCUGCAAGACCGCGAGGUGGAGCUAAUCUCAUAAAACCGUUCUCAGUUCGGAUUGUAGG
rnacentral:rRNA from 1 species